rnacentral:lncRNA from 1 species
AGUCUCUCUUGAUUAUUUAUGGAACUUUAGACCAUGACCAAAAACUGGCUUUUUGGGAUGAGCUCAGAAGAGUUAGAUCUUAGCUCAAAGGAUCCUAGAUUCUUACGGGUGAUUUCAAUGCUACUCUCAAAUCUUAUGAAAGAACCGACAAACCUUAGUCCCAAAAAGUUACACUUGGCUUGAUCUCUAGCCUCAUCUGUGACUUGCACUUUAUCAACC